rnacentral:rRNA from 1 species
UACAGAGGUCCCAAGCGUUGUUCGGAUUCACUGGGCGUAAAGGGUGCGUAGGCGGUUUGACAAGUCUGAUGUGAAAUCUUCGAGCUUAACUCGAAAAUGGCAUUGGAAACUGUCGGGCUAGAGGAUUGGAGGGGAGACUGGAAUUCUCGGUGUAGCAGUGAAAUGCGUAGAUAUCGAGAGGAACACCAGUGGCGAAGGCGAGUCUCUAGACAAUUCCUGACGCUGAGGCACGAAAGCUAGGGGAGCAAACAGG